rnacentral:lncRNA from 12 species
GUUCAGUGCCAGCUCAGGGCCACUGAUCCGUGAGCAAGGGGCAGUUCAAGCUGUGGUGAGAAAACAUCCCAAGCCACAUUGUGCCUCUGAGUGCUAAUACUGGAUCAUCAACACUAAGAAACAAAUUUGAAAAAUCUAGAGGUGCGAGAGCAGUUCUGAUGUAUUCUCAGGGCCAAUCUCCAGCCUCCCCUCUGCAGCUGUCCAGUGGUAACCCUGAGGAUGGAAUGCACGCAGACAAUCUACCAUGUGUAGGCGCCGUGCUAGGAACCAAAAAGAUGAAGAAGACUUCAUGUGGAUCCCUGAGGAGAUCCUAUGGGGCCAGAGAGAUGAGCAUAAACAAAUGACUGGGAUACAAUGUACUACAGGGUGUGGACUACACAUUUGGAAUUCAAAGAGAGGAAAAUACCUUAAGAAACUGAAGAGGAUUAAGAGUACAUUUACUUUGAGGAACACUAAGUGAUAUGUGGAACUGGCGAAUCGCUCUGUUACACACCUGAAACCAAUAUCGCACUGUGUGUGAACCACACUGGAACUAAAAUACCUGCAUACAUACUGCAUCAAGCCAAAAAGAAAAAAAGAAAGAAAGAAGAAAAGAAAGAAAGAAAGAGAGAGAGAGAGAGAGAGAGAGGGAGGGAGGGAGGAAGGAAGGAAGGAAGGAAGGAAGGAAGGAAGGAAGGAAGGAAGGAAGGAAGGAAGAAAGAAAGAAAGAAAGAAAGAAAGAAAGAAAGAAAGAAAGAAAGAAAGAAAGAAAGAAAUUCAGAGUUAUUAUUUCACCGAGGACAACUUUGGGAUAUACAUCAGGAAAAAUAGCUUCGUGGUUCGAGAAGGAAUCUCUACUACUUGCCUUUGUGCCCAGGGAGAAGAACACCCAGGCUCUGCUCCAGAGCAGAUCAGUUCCAAGUGGCAGCAAAGCAUGAUAAUCCCUUAAAAUCAUAAAUAUGGGCCACUGACAUGUAUACAAAUGCUCUUAGUAGCAUUAUUCAUGAGAGAUAAAUACUGGAGGCGACCCAAACAUCCAUAUAACAAUGGAAUGAUAAAUGAAAUGUGGUAUAUUCGAUACGCUGAAAUUCUACAUUGUAAUGAAAAAGAACAAACUACGGCUAUCUCAACAAUACAGAUCAACCUCGUGGACACGAUAUUGGACACACUGGCCGAACACAAAAGAAUAUAUAUUUGAUGAGUCCGUGUAGGACGUCCCAAACAGGCACAACUAAUCUAUAUAUUAGAAGUAAGGAGAGUGGUUACAUCUGGACAAGGAGGAGGGGAAGUGGUUGGUAAAUGGAAGUAAGAAAUCUUCUAGGUUCCUGGUAAUGUUUUAUUUCUUGACUCGUGUGUUGAUUUUGUAAUAAUUAGGGAGUACGUGUAUGAUUGGUGCACUCUUCUUUAUACAUAUUCCAACACUACUGGCUUAUUUUAAAAAAGGAAGAAAAAUUACAAGGAAAAAAAAUCCUAACCUAAAGCAAAGUAAAAGUGUACAACUAGAUUAGGCUACUUGCUUUUCCAAACACAAUGACUGCUAUUGCCUACAGAAAAAUAUCCAAGGGCAGCCCUGGUGGCUCAGUGGUUUAGCUCCGCCUUCAGCCCAGGGCGUGAUCCUGGGGACCCAGAAUCUAGUCCCGCGUCGGGCUCCCUGCAUGGAGCCUGCUUCUCCCUCUGCCUGUGUCUCUGCCUCUCUCUCUGUGUCUCUCAUGAAUAAAUAAAAUCUUUAAAUUAAAAAAAAAAAAAGA